rnacentral:rRNA from 1 species
GAUGAACGCUGGCGGCGUGCCUAAUACAUGCAAGUCUAGCGAACGGACGAGAAGCUUGCUUCUCUGAUAUUAGCGGCGGACGGGUGAGUAACACGUGGAUAACCUACCUAUAAGACUUGGAUAACUUCGGGAAACCGGAGCUAAUACCGGAUAAUAUCUUGAACCGCAUGGUUCAAAAGUGAAAGACGGUCUUGCUGUCACUUAUCGAUGCAUCCGCACUGCAUUAGCUAGUUGGUAAGGUAACGGCUUACCAAGGCAACGAGGAAUAGCCGAACUAAGAGAAUGAUCGGCAGCACUAGAACUAAGACAAGGUCAAGAAUACUACGGGAUGCGGGAGUAGGGAAGAUUUAACAAAAGGCGAAAACCUGACGGAGGAACGACGCGUGAGUGAUGAAGAUCGUCGAAAAAUAAAACACUGUUAUUAGGGAAGAAAAGAUGUGUGAGUAACAGUGCAGAAAUUGACGGUACCUAAUCAGGAAGCGACGGCUAAAUACGUG